GAUGAACGCUGGCGGCGUGCCUAAUACAUGCAAGUCGAGCGAACAGACGAGGAGCUUGCUCCUCUGACGUUAGCGGCGGACGGGUGAGUAACACGUGGAUAACCUACCUAUAAGACUGGGAUAACUUCGGGAAACCGGAGCUAAUACCGGAUAAUAUAUUGAACCGCAUGGUUCAAUAGUGAAAGACGGUUUUGCUGUCACUUAUAGAUGGAUCCGCGCUGCAUUAGCUAGUUGGUAAGGUAACGGCUUACCAAGGCGACGAUGCGUAGCCGACCUGAGAGGGUGAUCGGCCACACGGGAACUGAGACACGGUCCAGACUCCUACGGGAGGCAGCAGUAGGGAAUCUUCCGCAAUGGGCGAAAGCCUGACGGAGCAACGCCGCGUGAGUGAUGAAGGUCUUCGGAUCGUAAAACUCUGUUAUUAGGGAAGAACAAAUGUGUAAGUAACUGUGCACGUCUUGACGGUACCUAAUCAGAAAGCCACGGCUAACUACGUG
rnacentral:rRNA from 1 species